rnacentral:tRNA from 1 species
GGACCUUUAGCUCAACUGGUUAGAGCAGACGGCUCAUAACCGUCCGGUAGUAGGUUCGAGUCCUACAAGGUUCA